CUAGUUAACCAAUAAAGGAUACCAAAUCUGAAGAAAACGAUAACGUUUAUGAAGGUAGAUGCCGAAACGAAAUUAUUAGUGACAAAGGUCGUGACGAAGUGGGUCGUUCAAAAUUGUCGACCAUUUAGUAUUAUCAGCGAUUAAGGUCUUGAAGACGUUAUAUCAGUUGCCCUUGAUAUUUUAAGUCGUUUUGGACCAAACGUAAACAUUAGCAGCCUGCUACCUCAUCCAACAACGAGAUCGCGUAACGACACAGACUUAUACAAAAAGGAACUUCAAGCUGUAACAGAAGAAAUAGCCUUAAUGAAAGGCAAUGACUACACUAUCACGUCAGACGCAUGGACAGAUACCUUUUCGCAGACGUCCUAUUUAGUCCUUCACACUAUAUAUUUAAAGGAAGCAUUAAAACCCGUCUGUUGGAAAUGAUCUGCAUUAAAGGCACAUUAAUUCGCACUAAGGUGGAACAAUGUUUGAAUUCUUUUGGGUUAGAUUUAAACGACGCCAUUAUUGUUACAGACAGUGGAUCAAACAUGAUAUCUGAAUUUAAGGAAUCAGCUCAGAUUCAUUGUAUAAAUCAUUUGUUAAACAAUGUUGUUGAAAAAGCAUUCAGAGCAGUUCCAGAAUUGGUUCAAAUCGAAAAAAAAAUACGCAAAACUGGCUAAAUAUUUCAAGAGGUCCGGACAGAACGUAAAAUUCAGGUUUAGUCGUGUGUCAGACGAGAUGGAAUAAAAUUACGAUACGAUAGAGCACAAAUUUUAAAUAAAAAAACAUAAAUUAAUCGUUAAGAUGGGUUGAAUUAUAGCGACAUUACUGCAGUCACAAAUUUACUCUCCAAAAUCGAGGAAAUUUUAAAAUUCUUGUUGAAAAAUGCAGAAGUAAAUCCAUCGAUCUGGCUACUCUUUUCUAUCCAUGUAUGAUGCCAUAAUUUGUUUUUCUGAGAAUGGCAAAAACACAGACACCAAAUCAUAUACAUUCAGCUUCAUGUUGACACGGAGAAGUCUCAACCCAGCAAACCAACUAACGUGCCUCUUGCGAGAGUUCCGCAAAAUGCUCGCAAACGAGAUCGCAAGCGAGCUUGUGUACGAGCGAUAUGGUUUUGUGUCGCAAAACGCUCGCAAACGAGCUCGCAAGCGAGCCAAAAAUGAGCUCUACUUCUUGUGUCGCAAAACGCUCGCAAACGAGCUCGCGAGCGGGAGUUUUGCAAUAGGAAAGUGCGCUUCGACUGUGCUGCCGGUCGAAAGCCAAAAAAAAAGCAAGCCUUCGUGUGCCUUCGGUCCGGCAAUUCUCCUUCGGCUUUGUGUUCACGUCUCGACAGAUGACGUGUCGACAGAUUAGUGGUCGAAAAGUCAUUCGUGUUUUUCUUUUUUUACAUGUGUCGAGCAUUAGAAACAAGUGCAAAUAAAGCGUGCGUUCCUUGCGCCGUCAUUUCAAUUAUUUUCGUCGAACUGUGCAGUGCUAAGUUAAAAAUCUCUACCAUCUCUUACGCAUUUAAAAGAAAUUUCUGCCAAUCGAUGCAUUUAAACAGAAGUUUGCGCUCGACGAUCAGGAUUUCGACCAUACAACUCAAAAAUAUUUCCAGUAUGCUCAGGAACGGAAGGUCAGAUUGGAAAAAAGUGAUGCAAAAAAACUUAAAUUGUAGUACAUAGUUCAUACAUAUUACAUAUAUACAUUAAAUUCAUUUCAUAUUACAAUUUAAAAAUAUUUUUUAUUACGGAACAAAA